AUUGAACGCUGGCGGCAGGCCUAACACAUGCAAGUCGAGCGGAUGAAGGGAGCUUGCUCCUGGAUUCAGCGGCGGACGGGUGAGUAAUGCCUAGGAAUCUGCCUGGUAGUGGGGGAUAACGUCCGGAAACGGGCGCUAAUACCGCAUAAGUCCUGAGGGAGAAAGUGGGGGAUCUUCGGACCUCACGCUAUCAGAUGAGCCUAGGUCGGAUUAGCUAGUUGGUGGGGUAAAGGCCUACCAAGGCGACGAUCCGUAACUGGUCUGAGAGGAUGAUCAGUCACACUGGAACUGAGACACGGUCCAGACUCCUACGGGAGGCAGCAGUGGGGAAUAUUGGACAAUGGGCGAAAGCCUGAUCCAGCCAUGCCGCGUGUGUGAAGAAGGUCUUCGGAUUGUAAAGCACUUUAAGUUGGGAGGAAGGGCAGUAAGCUAAUACCUUGCUGUUUUGACGUUACCAACAGAAUAAGCACCGGCUAACUUCGUG
rnacentral:rRNA from 1 species